rnacentral:rRNA from 1 species
AGAGUUUGAUCCUGGCUCAGGAUGAACGCUGGCGGCGUGCCUAACACAUGCAAGUCGAGCGAACCCUUCGGGGUGAGCGGCGGACGGGUGAGUAACGCGUGGGUAACCUGCCCUGUACACACGGAUAACAUACCGAAAGGUAUGCUAAUACGAGAUAAUAUGUAAUGAUCGCAUGGUCGAUACAUCAAAGCUCCGGCGGUACAGGAUGGACCCGCGUCUGAUUAGCUAGCUGGUGAGGUAAUGGCUCACC